rnacentral:rRNA from 1 species
CUGCCCUUCAGAGUUUGAUCCUGGCUCAGGAUGAACGCUGGCGGCGUGCUUAACACAUGCAAGUCGAACGAUGAACCCGGUGCUUGCACUGGGGGAUUAGUGGCGAACGGGUGAGUAACACGUGAGUAACCUGCCCCUGACUCUGGGAUAAGCCCGGGAAACUGGGUCUAAUACCGGAUAUGACUGUCCACUGCAUGGUGGGUGGUUGAAAGAUUUAUCGGUGAGGGAUGGACUCGCGGCCUAUCAGCUUGUUGGUGAGGUAAUGGCUCACCAAGGCGACGACGGGUAGCCGGCCUGAGAGGGUGACCGGCCACACUGGGACUGAGACACGGCCCAGACUCCUACGGGAGGCAGCAGUGGGGAAUAUUGCACAAUGGGCGAAAGCCUGAUGCAGCGACGCCGCGUGAGGGAUGACGGCCUUCGGGUUGUAAACCUCUUUCAGUAGGGAAGAAGCGAAAGUGACGGUACCUGCAGAAGAAGCGCCGGCUAACUACGUGCCAGCAGCCGCGGUAAUACGUAGGGCGCAAGCGUUAUCCGGAUUUAUUGGGCGUAAAGAGCUCGUAGGCGGUUUGUCGCGUCUGCCGUGAAAGUCCAAGGCUCAACCUUGGAUCUGCGGUGGGUACGGGCAGACUAGAGUGAUGUAGGGGAGACUGGAAUUCCUGGUGUAGCGGUGAAAUGCGCAGAUAUCAGGAGGAACACCGAUGGCGAAGGCAGGUCUCUGGGCAUUUACUGACGCUGAGGAGCGAAAGCAUGGGGAGCGAACAGGAUUAGAUACCCUGGUAGUCCAUGCCGUAAACGUUGGGCACUAGGUGUGGGGGACAUUCCACGUUUUCCGCGCCGUAGCUAACGCAUUAAGUGCCCCGCCUGGGGAGUACGGCCGCAAGGCUAAAACUCAAAGGAAUUGACGGGGGCCCGCACAAGCGGCGGAGCAUGCGGAUUAAUUCGAUGCAACGCGAAGAACCUUACCAAGGCUUGACAUGUGCCAGACCGCCUCAGAGAUGGGGUUUCCCUUCGGGGCUGGUUCACAGGUGGUGCAUGGUUGUCGUCAGCUCGUGUCGUGAGAUGUUGGGUUAAGUCCCGCAACGAGCGCAACCCUCGUUCCAUGUUGCCAGCACGUAAUGGUGGGGACUCAUGGGAGACUGCCGGGGUCAACUCGGAGGAAGGUGGGGAUGACGUCAAAUCAUCAUGCCCCUUAUGUCUUGGGCUUCACGCAUGCUACAAUGGCCGGUACGAUGGGUUGCGAUACUGUGAGGUGGAGCUAAUCCCUAAAAGCCGGUCUCAGUUCGGAUUGGGGUCUGCAACUCGACCCCAUGAAGUCGGAGUCGCUAGUAAUCGCAGAUCAGCAACGCUGCGGUGAAUACGUUCCCGGGCCUUGUACACACCGCCCGUCAAGUCACGAAAGUUGGUAACACCCGAAGCCGAUGGCCUAACCACCUUGUGUGGGAGGAGUCGUCGAAGGUGGGACUGGCGAUUGGGACUAAGUCGUAACAAGGUAGCCGUACCGGAAGGUGCGGCUGGAUCACCUCCUAAGG